UACGUAGGGGGCAAGCGUUAUCCGGAUUUACUGGGUGUAAAGGGAGCGUAGACGGCAUGGCAAGCCAGAUGUGAAAUACCGGGGCUCAACCCCGGGACUGCAUUUGGAACUGUUAAGCUGGAGUGUCGGAGAGGCAGGCGGAAUUCCUAGUGUAGCGGUGAAAUGCGUAGAUAUUAGGGGGAACACCAGUGGCGAAGGCGGCCUGCUGGACGAUGACUGACGUUGAGGCUCGAAAGCGUGGGGAGCAAACAGG
rnacentral:rRNA from 1 species